rnacentral:hammerhead_ribozyme from 1 species
AUCCAGAUGACGAGUCCUGAAUAGAGCGAAACGAGCGUCCUGGAU